CGGAUGUAGUUUAAUGGCAAAACAGCAGCUUCCCAAGCUGCGGUCGAGGGUUCGAUUCCCUUCAUCCG
rnacentral:tRNA from 1 species